UACGUAGGGUGCAAGCGUUGUCCGGAAUUAUUGGGCGUAAAGAGCUCGUAGGCGGUUUGUCGCGUCUGCUGUGAAAACUCGGGGCUUAACUCCGGGCCUGCAGUGGGUACGGGCAGACUAGAGUGCGGUAGGGGAGACUGGAAUUGCUGGUGUAGCGGUGAAAUGCGCAGAUAUCAGGAGGAACACCAAUGGCGAAGGCAGCUCGCUGGGACGGUACUGACGCUGAGGCGCGAAAGCGUGGGGAGCAAACAGG
rnacentral:rRNA from 1 species